rnacentral:ncRNA from 1 species
GCCUGGUUGAUUCGUCCUGGGCUGUGGAGCAGGUGAACAGAUGCGGAAAACCUGGGCCCAAUGUGGCGGUCGGAAUGGCGAAGC